AUGAACGCUAGCUACAGGCUUAACACAUGCAAGUCGAGGGGCAGCAUGAACUUAGCUUGCUAAGUUUGAUGGCGACCGGCGCACGGGUGAGUAACACGUAUCCAACCUGCCGAUGACUCGGGGAUAGCCUUUCGAAAGAAAGAUUAAUACCCGAUGGCAUAGUUCUUCCGCAUGGUAGAACUAUUAAAGAAUUUCGGUCAUCGAUGGGGAUGCGUUCCAUUAGGUUGUUGGCGGGGUAACGGCCCACCAAGCCUUCGAUGGAUAGGGGUUCUGAGAGGAAGGUCCCCCACAUUGGAACUGAGACACGGUCCAAACUCCUACGGGAGGCAGCAGUGAGGAAUAUUGGUCAAUGGACGAGAGUCUGAACCAGCCAAGUAGCGUGAAGGAUGACUGCCCUAUGGGUUGUAAACUUCUUUUAUACGGGAAUAAAGUGAGGCACGUGUGCCUUUUUGUAUGUACCGUAUGAAUAAGGAUCGGCUAACUCCGUGCCAGCAGCCGCGGUAAUACGGAGGAUCCGAGCGUUAUCCGGAUUUAUUGGGUUUAAAGGGAGCGUAGGCGGACGCUUAAGUCAGUUGUGAAAGUUUGCGGCUCAACCGUAAAAUUGCAGUUGAUACUGGGUGUCUUGAGUACAGUAGAGGCAGGCGGAAUUCGUGGUGUAGCGGUGAAAUGCUUAGAUAUCACGAAGAACUCCGAUUGCGAAGGCAGCCUGCUGGACUGUAACUGACGCUGAUGCUCGAAAGUGUGGGUAUCAAACAGGAUUAGAUACCCUGGUAGGCCACACAGUAAACGAUGAAUACUCGCUGUUUGCGAUAUACAGUAAGCGGCCAAGCGAAAGCGUUAAGUAUUCCACCUGGGGAGUACGCCGGCAACGGUGAAACUCAAAGGAAUUGACGGGGGCCCGCACAAGCGGAGGAACAUGUGGUUUAAUUCGAUGAUACGCGAGGAACCUUACCCGGGCUUGAAUUGCAACUGAAUGAUGUGGAGACAUGUCAGCCGCAAGGCAGUUGUGAAGGUGCUGCAUGGUUGUCGUCAGCUCGUGCCGUGAGGUGUCGGCUUAAGUGCCAUAACGAGCGCAACCCUUAUCGAUAGUUACCAUCAGGUGAUGCUGGGGACUCUGUCGAGACUGCCGUCGUAAGAUGUGAGGAAGGUGGGGAUGACGUCAAAUCAGCACGGCCCUUACGUCCGGGGCUACACACGUGUUACAAUGGGGGGUACAGAAGGCAGCUACACGGCGACGUGAUGCUAAUCCCGAAAGCCUCUCUCAGUUCGGAUUGGAGUCUGCAACCCGACUCCAUGAAGCUGGAUUCGCUAGUAAUCGCGCAUCAGCCACGGCGCGGUGAAUACGUUCCCGGGCCUUGUACACACCGCCCGUCAAGCCAUGAAAGCCGGGGGGUACCUGAAGUGCGUAACCGCAAGGAGCGCCCUAGGGUAAAACUGGUGAUUGGGGCU
rnacentral:rRNA from 1 species